UACGAAGGGGGCUAGCGUUGCUCGGAAUCACUGGGCGUAAAGCGCACGUAGGCGGACUCUUAAGUCGGUGGUGAAAUCCUGGAGCUCAACUCCAGAACUGCCUUCGAUACUGAGAGUCUCGAGUCCGAGAGAGGUGAGUGGAACUGCGAGUGUAGAGGUGAAAUUCGUAGAUAUUCGCAAGAACACCAGUGGCGAAGGCGGCUUCCUGGACCGAUACUGACGCUGAGGCGCGAAAGCUAGGGGAGCAAACGGG
rnacentral:rRNA from 1 species